AUGCAGAUAGUGGAUGCCUUGGCAACACAUGCCGAAGAAGGACGCACUAGACGGCGAAACUCGCCGGGGAGCUGUCAAGAAGCUUUGAUCCGGUGGUGUCCGAAUGGGGAAACCCGGCCCAGGUUAUUCUGGGUCAUCCGUGGCUUUUGUCACGGAAGGGUACGCGCAGAACUGAAAUAUCUAAGUACGCGCUGGAAAAGACAUCGAAAGAGAUUCCCUGAGUAAGCGACGAGCGAAAAGGGAACAGCCUAAACCCAUCGUAAGAUGGGGGUUGCAGGAGCCCAAUAUUGGAUUGUAUCUGUUGAAUAGAACGCUAUGGAAUGAGCGACCAAAGAACGUGACAGUCGUGUAUAUGAAAAACAGAUGCACCAUAGGGAUUUCCUAAGUACUUUCGGAGACGGCAAACUCCGGGAAGAAUCUGGGGCGACCACGCUCCAAGGCUAAAUACAUGUGUUGACCGAUAGCGAACGAGUACCGUGAGGGAAAGGUGAAAAGAAGGGUCGAAGACCCCGUGAAAUAGAAACUGAAACUAUCUGCUAACAAGCAGACAGAGUCCGCAAGGAUGAUGUCGUGCCUAUUGAAGAAUGAACCGGCGAGUUAUGGUCUGUUCCAAGUGUAAGCCGUUGAAACGGCGGACGCGCAGUGAAAGCGAGCCUGAAUAGGGCGCCAAGGAACACACUAUAGACCCGAAACCAGGUGAGCUACCCAUGAUCAGGUUGAACGUACGGUAAAACGUGCGGGAGGACCGAACCGUUCAGAGUUGCAAGUCUGUCGGAUGAAUUGUGGGUAGAGGUUAUAUGCCUAUCGAACCUGGAGAUAGCUGGUUCUCCCCGAAAUAUAUUUAGGUAUAGGCUCAUGAUUAGGCUGAUGGGGGUAGAGUACUGGAUGAAUUUUUUGGUCGCAAGAUCAAAAAUUUAACCAAACUCCGAAUACCGUCAGUUCGUGCAUGGGACUCAGUAUGGCGGAGCUAAGUUCGCCAGGCGAGAGGGAAACAUCCCAGACUUUCGUCUAAGGUCUCUAAAUAUUCCUCAGUGGGAAAGAUAGUCUUGGUCCCCAAACACCUAGGAGGUCGGCUCAGAAGCAGCCAUCCUUGAAAGAAAGCGUAACAGCUCACUAGCCGAGGAUCAGGGCGUCGAAAACGUAUCGAGGCUUAAGGAAUAUACCGAAGACAAAGAUUUAUAUAUUUUCGUAAGAAAUUAUGUGAGUGGUAGGGGAGCGUUCCGGGUGCUGUGAAGGCGGCGAGAAAUCGAUCUGCUGGAGCGACCGGAAGUGCGAAUGCCGGUAUGAGUAGCGUACAUGAAGUGAGAAUCUUCAUCUCCGAAUGUUCAAGGUUUCCGCACCCACGUUUGUCGUGUGCGGGUAAGGCGACCCUUAGGCGAGGCCGAAUGGCGUAGCUGAUGGAUAACCAGUUGAUAUUCUGGUCCUUGAUAACAAUCGUUAUGACUUGGGGAGGGACGGAUUUGGAUACUGCGUGCGCUCUGUCGAAGAUAGAGCCGCACAAGCAACGAGAUAAUGUCUGUUGGCAAACCCGCAGAUAUGUUUAAUCGAAUUGUGAUGUGGAGUCUGUUCCGCAAGGAACGGGCAAGACGCAGGACUUCAGGUUCCUAGAAAAGCUUCGCAAGCAGAGUGUUAUUAAAUCGUACCGAUAACCGACACAGGUGAACUGGCCGAGAAGGCUAAGGAGAACGAGAGACAAUGGUUUAAGGAAUUCGGCAAAACAGCUGGGCGUACCCUUGGUAUAUGCCCUUCUCUCCGCAAGGAGAGGCGCAGCGAAAGACUGGAGACUGACUGUUUAACAAAAACACAGGUCCGUGCAAACUCGAAAGAGGACGUAUACGGGCUGAAACCUGCCCAGUGCCGGAAGGUUAACUGCGAGAGUGGUACCCGCAAGGG
rnacentral:rRNA from 1 species